CCAAAAAUGGCUGCUGACACCCAUGCCUUCCAAGCGUGUUGGACAGCAACUCCCACAAUUAUGCAUCCAGCAUGGCCAAUCCGAUGUGGUAGGAGAAAAGACAUCCAGUGACUGGAAGCUUUAUUUCUCUUGGGACUGAAGCUUCAGUGAGCAUCACUUACAGUAACAGAGGAUGGCCUGGAACCUUAUGAAGUGGGGUGCAUGAAGGAGAGAAGAAAAGUACAAUGUGGUCCCCAUGGAUCUUUUCAGAAUAUCAGUCAUCCUCUCAUGCACAUUCCACCAGUCUUGAUGGUUGCCAUUCUGCUAGCUUAUUAAUAAAAAUCUGGGGCAGUAAAAUGGUCCACGCUGGGUACACAUCAAAAUGGAAUUAAUCUGUACACAAUGUUUUUCUUAAGUUGCCUUUGAUUGCAGACUUAAACUGGUGUUCUUGGAGUGAAGAAACAUAUGCUAAAGAAGAACUUGUCAUGCAGGAUAUCCAUAAUUAAAGGGAGGCUUCAAUGAAAAGCAUUUCACAAUAUCUCCAUUAAGCAUUGCCAUAUUCCAAAAGAACAUGAGCUGCGGUGUAAAGAAAGUCAGCUGCAAGCAAAGGAGAGCUUUAUGGAAUACACAUAUUACUAAUGUAUGAACAUGUGCUCAGGCCAAGUACAGAAGAAGACACAAUUGGUGCUUUUAAUCAUUGUGCAAAUUUUAUUACCAGUGAAACCCCUAGUACAGAAAAAAGAAUAAAGGAAAAGAAAAGGAUAGAUGAUCUUUACUGGUAUAGCAAUAGCUUUUAUUCGUGAUGACCUCGGUCAUUUGAUGAUCACUGAUCCUGGCAGGAGGAUUAUCUCCUUGUGAAGAGAAAGCUAGGGUUACUCCCUUAAAGACCACA